AAUUAAAGUGGUACGCGAGCUGGGUUCAGAACGUCGUGAGACAGUUUGGUCCCUAUCUGCCGUGGGUGUUGGAAACUUGAGAGGUACUUGAGAGGAUUAUCUGUCCUUGUCCCUAGUACGAGAGGACCGGGAUGGACAUACCUCUGGUGGACCUGUCGUGGCGCCAGCCGCGCAGCAGGGUAGCUAUGUAUGGAAGGGAUAACCGCUGAAUGCAUCUAAGCGGGAA
rnacentral:rRNA from 1 species